CGCCCAACAGCUAGCCCAAUCAAGCAAACCCAACAACCCCAUGUUAAUAACCCCUAAGUACCCCCGUAUUUAAAUUAAACAAACCAUUUUUCCCCCUUAGUAUAGGCGAUAGAAAAGGAUACUAACGGCGCAAUAGAGAAAGUACCGCAAGGGAAUGCUGAAAGAGAGAUGAAACAGCCCAGUAAAGCCCUAAAAAGCAGAGAUUAAAACUCGUACCUUUUGCAUCAUGAUUUAGCCAGUGUACCCCAAGCAAAGAGAACUUUAGUUUGACGCCCCGAAACUACGUGAGCUACUCCAAGACAGCCUAUAUAACAGGGCACACCCGUCUCUGUGGCAAAAGAGUGGGAAGAGCUUUGAGUAGAGGUGACAAACCUACCGAACCUAGUUAUAGCUGGUUGUCCAAUAAAUGAAUAGAAGUUCAGCCUCUUUGCUUCUCUCUUCACACUAGUUUGACCCCUAUUGAUGCUUAAAGAAACCAAGAGAGUUAGUCAAAGGGGGUACAGCCCCUUUGAAUCAAGACACAACUUUGUUAGGAGGGUAAAGAUCAUA
rnacentral:rRNA from 1 species